UUGGGGGCUUUUAUUUUGCAACUAGGGCGGCUAGAGUUUAUGUUGUAGUAGAAGUCUGAGGGUGGAGGAGUUGAUUUGGUCAUAGAGAGAUUGAGGGAGUAAGUUGUGGAGAAGAUUAUAGAGAGAUUGGGGGAGUGAAUCAAGGAAGUUGGAGUGUGGGGGAAUGUUUGUGCCGUUUGGGGAGUUUUGGUUGUGCAAUUCGGCUAAGGAGGGGAAUUUGGGGUAAUGCAUUUCAUUUUUGGUCAGUAUAGGUGUCGAAUUUUCUCUCUAUUUUUUGUGAGUUUUGGUUUUUCUUUCUUUUUCUCUUAGAGUCGAACUAGAAUUAACCAUACGUGCAUCUUUUUGUCAAGUUUCUGCUAGUCUUUUUGAGCUACGAAAUUGUCCAUACGUGCCUUUUCUUUUC
rnacentral:lncRNA from 1 species